UUGUCUGGCGGCAUCUGCUGGCUACGACUGAGCAGUACGCUUUUAAACUCAAGAUACGUGAUGACGAAUGGUUGUUAAAGAGAAAUAAUGUUUAGUUAAACUGUUUUCUGGGCUUCCUGGUGACAUAAUUCAGUCUAGGACAUGUAUAUAAAAGUAUAAAUCAAGGAAGAGAGAGGACCGUAGCAUCCUGCACGGCUAAUGCUAAUAUGCUAAGUGCGUCUCCCGACUCUCCCACUGCGCCUCGUCUUGACCAUCCAUUUCCAGUAAAUGAACCUGGAGGAUACUGAAAGCGGACACACUGUGACUGUAAAAUAGCCUCAAAUCCGGCUCCAGAAAGAUGUUUUUGUACCUAAAACGAGAUUGAAGGAGAGUUCAUUGCAGUAUUUUCCACUUUUUUUUAUGUUUGUAGGAUUCAAUUUCAGGUCACCCUGAUAAUGCAGCGUGCACUCUGAAUCUCAUUCAAAAGCCCCUCGGGUUUAGAGUCAUAGCAGCAUCUAUUUAAAGUAGAUUUCCUGCGAGAGGGUAAAGGUUUGCUUAUCGAGAAAAGGGGGAAAAAAAUCACUCACCCUCUCUGUUCGGUGAGAUGUAGUAUUCGAUGGCUCACAACUCUCCUUCUCUCCUCCGUAAUUGCUCUUUAAUUACUGCUCACUGGAGGGUGGCUGUGAACCCCGGACGCUUGAAUCAGAGGAACUUUUGAACAUCAGUUGUUUGGCGCAGGAGGUGGGAAGGAUGCAGAAUGACUGUGCGGCAGGAAGUUUACAAGCCCUGGGGGGGAUGUUAUCAUUCCCACCUGGGAUUGCGUCUUGAAAUGAGUGACUCAUUUUGGAACUUGAAGGUGACACUCCCCUCCUAUGAAUUUGUGCACUGUGUCAGCUGGUUCUUGUUCUUUUGCAUCUAACCCAGAGUUCAUGCUCUAAUUCUGGGUGAAGGUAAACAGAAUAUUUGCACCUGAUUUGCACUGUGCAAAAUAAAGGAGUAAAUGCUAUGUGCAAUGUUGCUCUUGGCUUUGACAGCUCAAAGUGCAUGUGGUAAAUUAGUUUAUUUACAUUUUCUCCUCCCAGAAUGCCCAAAAUUGCAUAUUCACUUAAUAAAAGGAGACGCUGAAAAUUGCUUGAUACAUCACUUUAUUUAGCACAAGCAAACAGACCUGUGUUUUUGUACGUGCAAAUCAUUUGUGUAAAUCUACCAGUACAAGACUAAUAAAUCAUCUAAUAAUAGAAAAUGAAGCGUGUCUUGAGAAAUAUAUUUUUGAGUAUAAAAAGGCGAUAUAUGUGUUAUUGUUCAUUCAUUUAUUAAAAUGUUAGAAUAAUUAUAUGUUUUCCUCUGUCUUGUAUGUUGUUUGUUUUCAUUUUGUUGGCAAAAAUAUUGUCAA